rnacentral:rRNA from 1 species
ACGGAAGGCAGCAGUGGGGAAUAUUGCACAAUGGGCGCAAGCCUGAUGCAGCAACGCCGCGUGAGGGAAGACGGUUUUCGGAUUGUAAACCUCUGUCUUUGGUGACGAAGAAGUGACGGUAGCCAAAGAGGAAGCCACGGCUAACUACGUGCCAGCAGCCGCGGUAAUACGUAGGUGGCAAGCGUUAUCCGGAAUUACUGGGUGUAAAGGGAGCGCAGGCGGGAUAGCAAGUCAGCGGUGAAAAUUAUGGGCUUAACCCAUAAACUGCCGUUGAAACUGUUAUUCUUGAGUGGAGUAGAGGCAGGCGGAAUUCCGAGUGUAGCGGUGAAAUGCGUAGAUAUUCGGAGGAACACCAGUGGCGAAGGCGGCCUGCUGGGCUCUAACUGACGCUGAGGCUCGAAAGUGUGGGGAGCAAACAGGAUUAGAUACCCUGGUA